rnacentral:lncRNA from 1 species
UACUAGACACACCUUACCAGUGAGCUGCACCCCAGCCUGCUUGUUCUGUAAGACAGUAUUUUUGUCAGCUGGUCGUGGUGGCAUAUGCCUGUGACCCCAGCACUAAAGGUAUUGAAGCUGCAUGGUUGCAGCCUGCCUGAAUAUAUAAGGAGAUGCUGUCUCAGAGAAAAAAAGGCGUCUGAACACUAAGCUUCAUGAUUCCACCACAAGCCUUCUCUUUUAAAAAAUGUUUAUAGAUUCUCUCAUAUACUACAAUCUGACUGCAGUUCCUCACCCUCCUCUCCUCACCACCCCUUCCCACCGCCUAUCCAUGCCUCCUCUGUUUCUCUUCGGAAAAGGACAGGCCUCCCAGGGAUAGCAACUGAGUAUGGCAUAACAAAUUAGAAUAAGAUUAGGUACUUUCUCUCAUAUCAAGGCUGGAUAAGGAGAGAAGGGUCCCAAAGGCAGGGAAAAGAGUCAGAGACAGCCCCCGCUCCCAUUGUUAAGAGUCCCCAAGAACACGAAGCUACACAGCUAUAACAUAUAUGCAGAGGGUCUAGGUCAGUCCCAUGCAGGCUCCCUGGUUUUCAGUUCAGUCUCUGUGAGCCCCUAUGAGCCCAGGUUAGUGGAUUCUGUGGGUUUUCUUGUGGUGUCCUUGACCCCUCUAGCUCCUUCAAUCCUUCCUCCCCCCACUUUCCCCAACUUUUGCCUAAUGUUUGGCUGCGGGUCUUUCCAUCUCUUUCUAGAAGCCUCUCAGAAGACAGUUAUGCUAUGCUCCAAUUUAUAUGUAUACUAGAAUAUCAUUAGGAAUCAUUUCAUUGACUUUUUUUAAUGCCAGUGUUUGGUUCUAUCCUAGGUCCCGGCUAUCCAGCCUUCUGGUUCCUGGCCCUCCAGGCAGUGUCAGGAAUGGGCUCCUUCUUGUGGCAUGGGUCUGAAGCUAGACCAGUAAUUGGUUGGCCACUCCCACAGUUUCUUACCCCACCUUUACUACAGCACAUCUUGUAGGCAGGCCAGUUCCUCCAUUGGAAGUCUUGCUUGGUUAUAGGUUAGGCUCCAUAUUCCCCAUUGAUAGGAGUCUUAGCUAGAGGGUCAUCCUCAUGGUUUCCUGGGAGUUCCAUUGUACUAGGUUUGUACCUCAUCCCAGAGAUGCCCCUGAUUCCACUUAUCUCUCCCACCCCUCUCUUCCCGCCCCUCUGCUAUUCCUGUCCUCACCCACCUCCAGCCCACUGCAAAAACUAUUCUAUUUUCCCUUCCCAGGGAGAUUCAUGUAGCCCUCCUAGCUACUUAGCCUCUCUGAGUCUGUGGAUUACAGCAUGGUUAUCCUUUGCUUUACAGCUACUAUCCACUUAGAAGUGAGUACAUUCCAUGUUUGUCUUUCUGGGUCUGAGUUACCUCACUUAGGAUGAUUUUUAUUUCUAAUUCCAUCCAUUUACCUGCAAUUUCAUGUUAUUAUUUUUUCAGUGGCUAAGUAAUACUCCAUUGUUUGAAUGUACCACAUUUUCUUUAUUUGAUCUUUGGUUGACGGGCAUCCAGGCUGUUUCCAGUUUCUGGCUACUAGGAGUAAAGCUGAUAUGAACGUAGUUGAGCAAAUGCCCUUUGUGGUGGGAUGGAGUGUUCUUUGAGGAUAUGCUAGAAGUGGGAUGAGGUAGAUCAAUUCCCAAUUUUCUGAGAAACCACCAUGUUGAUUUUCAAAGUGGUUGUACAAGUUUUCAUUCCCGCCAGCAAUGGAGGAGUGUUCCCCUUGCUCCACAUCCUUGCCAGCAUCUGCUGUUGCUUGACUUUUUGAUCUUAGCCAUUCUGACUGGUGUGAGGUGGAAUCUCAGGGUCCUUUUUAUUUGCAUUUCUCUGAUGACUAAGGUUGUUGAACAUUUCAUUAAGUCUUUCUUGGCUAUUUGAGAUUCCUCCAUUGAAAAUUCUCUGUUUAGAUCUGUAACCCAUAUUUUAAUUGGAUAUUUUGGGUUUUUUUUUAUGUCUAGUUUCUUGAGUUCUUUAUAUAUCUUGGAUAUUAGCCCUCUGUCAGAUAUGGAGUUGGUGAAAAUCUUUUCCCAUUCUGUAACAGGCUGCUGAUUUGUCCUAUUGGCAGUGUCCUUUGCCUUAUUGAAGCUUUGAAUUUCAUGAAGUCCCAUUAAUUAAUUGUUGAUCCUAGUGCCUGCACUAUUAGUGUUCUGUUCAAGGAGUUAUUUCUUGUGCCAAUGCAUUCAAGGCGAUUCUUCAUCUUCUGUUCUAUUAGAUUUAGUGUAUCCAGUUUUAUGUUGAGGUCUUUGAUCCACUUGGAUUUGAGUUUUGGGCAGAUAAAUAUAGAUCUAUUGGCAUUCUUCUACAUACUUGCAUCUAGUUAGAUCAGCACCAUUUGUUGAAGAUGCUUUCCUUUUUCCAUUGUAUAUUUUUGGCUUCUCUAUCAAGAAUGAGGUGUCCCUGAGUGUGUGAAUUUAUAUGCUGGUCUUUCAUUUGAUUGGGUUGGAUUGAUCGCUCUGUCUGCUUUUAUGCCAAUACCAUGUGGUUUUGAUUACUGUAGGUCUGUAGUAGAGCUUGAGAUCAGGGAUGAUGAUACUCUGGAAGCUCUUGUAUUGUACAGGAUUAUUUUAGUUAUUCUGGCGUUUUUGUUUUUCAUAUGAAGUUGAGUAUUGUUCUUUGAAAAUCUGAAAGAAUUGUGUUGGAAUUUGGAUGGAGAUUGCAUUGAAUCUGUAGAUUGUUUUUGGUAAGAUAGCUAUUUUCACUAUGUUAAUUCUACCAAUCCGAGGGAGAUCUUUCCAUCUUCUGAUACCUUUUCCAGUUCCUUUCUUCAAAGAUUUUAAGUUCUUGUCAUACAGGACUUUCACUUGCUUGUUUAGAGUUACACCAACAUAUAUAUUAUCUGUGGCUAUUGUGAGGGAUGUUGUAGUAGGAUAGCUGGGCUGGUGUCAUAUUUCCCUGGCUCCUGCUGUGUUCUUACCCUGGCCUCCAGUCAUCUGGGGUUGGGAUAAUUAUAAGUUUAGGAACUGGUUUCUGAGUUUGUCUUUGUUGCAUAGAUAUUUAGAUUUUUUUUCCUCUUGAUUUCUGUUUUCUUUCUAGUCUUCUGGCCUGAGUAGCCUGGGGUUCUUAUGACCAAAGUUUUCAGGCCUAGUAGAGUAUCUAUGCUGGGGUUUUGGCAGCCUACAUGACCUUUGGGAUUUGGGGUGCCAGCAUUGCUCAUGGGGGGAAGGACCAUCUCUGAUUAUCAAGACUAUCAAUUUUCUGUCGCCUUUUGGAUUUAUUUACCUGACUUCAGGUGCCUGUGAGGAACAGAGGGAUUGCAUCCUCCUGGAGUUUGACUUACAGGUAGCUAUAAGCUACUUGACAUAGGUGUUGGGAAUUGAACUCUUUCCUCUGCAAGAAUAAUGUGUACUCUUAAUCACUCAGCUAUUUCUCCAACUCGUUGAUUUUCUUAUUUCCUUCAGUCUCAAAAGUGAGAAGAUUAGGUUUUCAAAACCCCAUUCUACUUGGACUCUUUGCUUCCUGUGGCAGUAGUAAAGCAUUCUGAUGUACAGCUUACUGUAGUGAAAGGGACCUUGAAAAGGAGGAAAAAAGCAAUAAAACUGAAUGUAGAUCCCUUUGUUUAAAAACUUUAAUAGCUAGAGGUAUAGCUUAAUGGUAGUGUUUGUUGCUCUAGAUCCAUCCCCAGCACCAAAAGAUGUUAAUAAUGAUAAUUUAUUCAGUAAGCCCUACUCAUUCUAUUUCUUUUUAUCUUUGUAGGAAAUAUACUCCCAUACUAAACCCAAGGUGGAUCACUUUGUCCAGUGGGGAGUAGGUAAGUUGAGUUUUAAUUAGGCAUAAUCGGUUAUUUCAUCCUAUUGAACUAUUGUACUAAGUUUUUAGGAAAUUGGCUCUGGAAAUCAGAGUCUUUGACAUCAUAUGGACAAAUCUAGAGCUAUCUAGAUGUUUUCUGGAAGAUGAUCUGUGUUUGAAAUAGGUUUCAGAAGAGUCUUAUUUCAUGAAUCUCUUCAAUAUUAUUAGCAUUGUUGGGCUAACAAGUACUUGUACCUU